ensembl:lncRNA
UGGGGGUCCUGUAGGAGAUCUUGCGGACCUGUGCAGUGGGCCGUCGGAAAGGCAAGCCUGACCCUUUCAAGAGAGGUCAGGCCUGGAGACCAAGGGCACUGAAAGAGAACACAGGGCUGAUUCCUUGACCUUUUGCAGUUCAUAGUCUAGUGAGGAAUACGAAUAAUUACAAAGAUCCUAGCUCAGAGGAUGGACCAGGCUUCAGAUGCACAAGACUUCUUUGGAAUGUUCAUGGAAACUUUAUUUACUCAUUGGUGCUUUCUUUGGUUUCUAGGAAAGACUCUUUUACAGCCCUCAGCACUGUUAUUGCGUGAACUGGCUCAGCAUGGCCGGCCCAGUGAAGGACGCCAGUGGUAGUAACCGGGGAAGAGGGAUCCCCUGGCUCUUCUUACCAAACUUCUUCGAUCGUUUGGAGUGGUUUGGCCAUCAGUUAGUCAGGAAGAGGCCAGAAGGACACGUGCUGAUAAUGCUUCAAGAAAGUUAAACUUUAGGAAAAACUCGACCGAAGUAAAAAUAGCUAUGUAGUCAGUGACCAAAGCUACUUGGAUGGUCCUGUUGAUUGCUCUUG